CCCUCGGAACAGGCCACAACUGCCCUGUUCUUCCUAACAGCCUUACAAGAGUGUGCACCAAUCCUGACCUUUUUAUGUCUUUCUUGCUGUUCCCCUUCUAACAAGAGACAGAGAGAAAGAGGGGAAGAAAAGAAAUACUAUGAAAACUUGGACACAAAAUUCCUAAGGCUUCUAAUUCUAGAAAAAAUAGAGAAUUCCUAGAAAGAAAUAGUAACAAUAACCACCUGUUUAUUACAGCAAAAAUUUUAAAAUAUUUAACAAAGGACACAAAACCCUCUCUGCUGCCAUGCAGCAUGCAUUUAGCUUACUGCAGCCUUAUGGAUGGGGCUCCAGAAGGUAAAAGCCCUUUUUGAAUCCAUGAAAAGAUCAACAUCUGAAUAUAUAUUAAAGAUAAAGUCUAAGUACGUCAUAAAAGGCAGAAAAACACCAGCCUAACUUCUAGGUGGAUGCAGGAGCCACUGGUCCCCACUGAGGGGACAGAGCCCUGGGGAAGGAGGUGCUAAAUGGAUUCUGCUCACACUGCAUCCACAUAGGCCUGGUUUUAAAUAGCGGGCUGUCUUAUUGGAAGGGAAAUAUAAAUCUCCCAACCCAGAAGAAGAUGUGAUCUCAGCAGAAAAUGGAAAACAAUAGCUGGAAAGUAAUACCAGGACUUUCAGAUGAGAUACAAAAAAGUUAGUCCGCAUAUGAUUUAUCUUCAUGCAUCUAGACAUUUGAAAACAGCUGUUCGGAUCAUUCCUGAGUACUUUGAUUUAGAAAGGCCCCCACAUGCCCAGAAUCAGCCUGGGGCCCAGGACAGGAACAGCGUUCGCCCUGGGACUGACUAGGACCCAUCUACCCAGUCACUGCACGCCAUCCCCAACAGAGCGCCAUCUAUGGGAUCUGUCAGACUUCCCUCCCCUUCCAAGCAGAACUGAAGGGCAGUUAAGAGUCACAGUCCUGGCUCUGAACUGUGGCUCUGUCAUCUUCUGCCCAAGUGACAAGCCCUCGAAUUUCUGCAUGCCUCUGUCACCUCCACUACAAAUGGAGAUUCUGUCUCCUACCCAGUAACCUUUUGGCCCUCAGAACAGCCCCCAGGAUGCUCUAAAAGGCCACGCCCCUCCAUCGGCACUUGUAUUCUUCGUCACACUCUCAGCUCCGGAUGGUUUCUGUCUACUUCCAAAGAAAGAGAAAAUCAGCCAUUAUAAGAACAGUCAACAAAUGAGCAUCGAGAUUUGAAGGCUGUUCCAAAAAGUGAGUUUGAAUGUUUGAGCAAUGCUCCACUUUGGUGGGGUCACUUAGGCUUCCAAAGUGACUCUGGAAAAGGUUACAGGUGUCGAGGAGCUCCGGCCUAGCUGCUUGCAAAGUCACCUCUCUGCCUUGACCUGAAAGUCAGAGCUUAUCAGAAACACCCAAACAUCUGAAAAAUUCUUCUGUUUCUCCAACUGUGAACCAACCCACCGCCAAAUGAGCGUGCCAGAAGACAGCGAGGAUCCAAUUACAAACCAUUUACCUGUCGUGCCUGUCCCAUUCAUGAGGUCCCAGCUCUGUGGCCCAGUGUUUGCUCUGCUUUAUGAGCGGCAUUGACAGAAGGCCCUGCCCAGGCUGGGUCCUGAUGACAGGCAUCCCUCGUCACACUCCAGUGAACUCUUCUGACAGAGUCAGGACCCCUGGGGGCAGAAUCCUGUGACCUAAUUGAGUGGCAAUCCCCUUUCAGCCAUGUCACUGCCACCAGCAGGGCCCUGGGCUCUGUGUAGCCACCUCAGACAGUCUCUCCCCAAGCCAGGCUUGGGUCCCCAUAGCCUCUCCUGGCUGAGUGAGCGGGAGCUGCAGUGUGGCCGGCUGCUCACAGCAGCUUGGUCCAGUUAAGCCCUCCACGCUGGGCCAGCUCCACACUGGGGACCAGGCAGAACCUGCACUUUGCCUUCUUACAGGAGAAAAACACUUUUUGGAUUGAGGACAAAAGAUCCGCUGAAAAUAGCCUUCCUGUAUUUUCACAUGAAAAAAAAAAAAACAAAAAACAAAAAAA
rnacentral:lncRNA from 1 species